AUAUAUAUAUAUGUAAAAUUAAAUGUGCAGACCUAUAUAUUCAAGAGGCCAACUACGUAUCCAACAUCAUUGAUCUUUACUAUAGUAUUCCUGAGCAUCUCAUCAGUAGUUGUAGCACUUUUCAAGGAUAUACCUGACGUUGAAGGAGAUGAAAAGUUUGGCAUUCGAUCUUUAGCAGUACUUUUGGGUCAAAAACAGGUAUUCUGGAUUUGUGUUUCACUACUUGAAAUGACUUAUGGAGCUGCCAUUUUAUUUAUGGCAACGACAUCCUUUUGCCUCUGGAGCAAACUUAUCCUGGUGGUGUUUUAAUUACUUUUAUAGAUUAUCCAUAUUAUGGUGUUGGAAUAUUCUUUGUAGUAUCUUACCAAUUUCUAUAAGUGUCAUGUUUAAAGGACUUAAAUGUGAUUUAGAUUAAGUUUAUGAAAUAUUAAGUUCAAUUAUAUAGGUCAAUUAUCAAAAUUUAAAAAUUGUCUACUUUUAUGCAAUUGUCAUUUAAAGUCUAAAAGAGUAC